GUAAGUUCUCAGUAUAGACAUAAUUCUGCUCCCACUGAAGUCAGUGGGAUUUUUAACCUUAAUUGUCAAUAUUGGUGAGAAUGCCAACACGGAGCACAUUUGGAGGCUAGAUCCCAUCUUCACACGUGACAGAUUCUGUAUGCUUUUGAAAGGCGAAAGGAGCCGGAUUCUAAAUCCUUUAAGUCUCUUUUGCUAUGUUACUUGUAGUCCACCCUGCAGUGAUCUGCCUGACGCCGCGGGGCCAGGGCGACGUGCUCGCGUGGCAGCAGCUCCACGGGGGCAUGGCUGCCCGCAGCUGACCCAGAGCGCGUUGCCGCUGGACUCGCCAUCCGUCAGCCGCCGCUCCCUGCUCCUGCAGAGCUGCGUGAUCGGAGAUGGGCUGCGCACCUUCUCCCCGUGCUGCCUCCUGCUCUGCCCCAUGCCGCCGUGGAGCACACACCAGCAGCUUAUAUGGGCAUCUUUCCGCUACGGAGACACCCGGUCACAUGCAUACACAAGAAGUACACGCAGAAAAUGCUGUGUUAACAUUGUGUCACUGAAAGGAUAAACAAGAACGUAGCUUUUUGCAAACUCCAUCUCAACGUUACUGACUGAUUUUUUUUGCAGCACUCCAGCCAGAAGUGGUGCUAAGCACAAAGUCUCCCUGAACUGUGCUUGCUGUUACAGAAAAUAGUUCAUGUGCUUUAUCAUCUGUUUGGACCUUUCAGGCUCAUUUUGUAGAAUGGACAUUGAUUUCCUCAAAUAGCAGUCAGAAUGCAUUUCUUCUCUUCCUUAUGCCAUGACCUUCUCAGAGGUUAUCGUGUCACAUUACAACAUGAAGUUUAGGCUUGUUCUUUUUGCCCUUACAGCCAAGCCACUCCAUGUCAAAUAGCUGUCAGGGAUUGAAUUCAGGGCAGAGUCGUAUAUCAGCCCGGCACUGAUGCUGCUGGCAGUUAGCCUUGCACUGCUGUUAACUGACGGAAAACAGGCAGAAUCUGCCCAAGAGGGGGACAGCAGAGCUAUGGUUUGUCUUUCUUACUGAUUGGUCCAUCCCCCAAAAGUGAAAGAAUGUAAAAGGAGAGUUUAGAUAAUAUGAAGGUGCUCCUUUUCAAACCAAACUUAGUGUCACAAGAAAUCCUGUAAUCGUUAGUUUAACUCUUCCAUGUCACUAAAGUUUCACAGCAUCAGAUAAUAUACUACGCAUCGGUCAGAAACUUCGGCACUAAGCCGGACGGUAGCUUGAAAGCUGUGCCCUUGUAAUGUUGUUCCGCUCAGAAACAGGGGAAAAUCAAAUCAUAAUGUAGUAAAUUUAUCUAGCGCUAGUAUUUGUGCUCCAUCCUCAGUUGUUAGGAGAACAGAGAAACCCUACUGGAUGGAGCAAAGCUAAGGUUUACCAUGACAAAUUCACAGACCAGCUGAUCUCACCUUAAUGUCAUCUGUGGAUAAAGCUACAUAAAUCUCAGUGGCUGUUUAGUGCUCAGCUGCAGGACCAGCAUGUAUUGAGAGAUUAGAUCAGAGUGAGGGAGAGGGGGGGAGAGAGAGAGAGAGAGAGGAGGAAAAAAGAUUCA
rnacentral:lncRNA from 1 species